rnacentral:rRNA from 1 species
GCACAAUACUGACGCUCAGGUGCGAAAGCGUGGGGAGCAAAAGGAUUAGAUACCCUGGUAGUCCACGCCGUAAACGAUGUCUACUAGCUGUUCGUGGUCUUGUACUGUGAGUAGCGCAGCUAACGCACUAAGUAGACCGCCUGGGGAGUACGGUCGCAAGAUUAAAACUCAAAUGAAUUGACGGGGGCCCGCACAAGCGGUGGAGCAUGUGGUUUAAUUCGACGCAACGCGAAGAACCUUACCUACUCUUGACAUCUAGCGAAGAUUGCAGAGAUGCAGUUGUGCCUUCGGGAACGCUAAGACAGGUGCUGCAUGGCUGUCGUCAGCUCGUGUUGUGAAAUGUUGGGUUAAGUCCCGCAACGAGCGCAACCCUUAUCCUUAGUUGCCAGCACGUAAUGGUGGGAACUCUAGGGAGACUGCCGGUGAUAAACCGGAGGAAGGUGGGGACGACGUCAAAUCAUCAUGGCCCUUACGAGUAGGGCUACACACGUGCUACAAUGGUACGUACAGAGGGAGGCAAGCUGGCGACAGUGAGCGGAUCUCUUAAAAGCGUAUCGUAGUCCGGAUCGCAGUCUGCAACUCGACUGCGUGAAGUCGGAAUCGCUAGUAAAUCGCAAAUCAGAAUGUUGCGGUGAAUACGUUCCCGGGCCUUGUACACACCGCCCGUCACACCAUGGGAGUGGGUUGCAAAAGAAGUAGGUAGC